rnacentral:misc_RNA from 1 species
GUGAAUCAUCAAAUCUUUGAACGCAAAUUGCACUCUAUGGUUUUCCGGGAGAGUAUGCCUGUUUGAGGGUCAGUGUAAAUAAAAUCGGCUUAGUAGGUUGCGGUGUUUUUCACGGUAAUGUUGGUAGGAAUUUGGGUCAUCUUAAAGCGAAAGGUUUUUAAGUGACUUAAAAUUGUCUUAGGAGCUCGCGAACGUUGCUAAGAUUU